rnacentral:lncRNA from 1 species
GAUCUUAUUCUCUUGUGCCUCUAUGUGUGAAAAACUUUUCUCUUCUAUCCCCAUUUAUUCUACAUACCCUUCUACCCUUACUAUAUUCUAAAAACUUUACUAGGUCUACGUGGUACAACUGGUACCCCUACCUACCAGUUGUACCUCCUCCUAGUUGUACCACCUAGUUGUAUUGUACCUCUCUAGUUGUACCACCUCCUAGUUGUACCGCAUGGAGCUCGCAACCACUGAGCUAUUGUUUUUCGUUGAACACUUACCGAUUUAAUUGUAUUUAACCUUUAUCACCCGAAAUCAACCCUCAUUAAGGGUAAUUUUGUCUUUCUACCAUUGAGGAGUAUAUGAGAAAUGUUUUAUUGGUCAAAGGGUACAAGAGAAUAAGAUC